rnacentral:rRNA from 1 species
AUGCUUGUGCUGGCAGUCCUACCUCCGGUGCUACCGGACUAUACAGACACCGUGUCCUGGCGACUCUCACUGACGGGUGAGUUCUCGAUAAACACGACAUACCAUGCAUUAUGCCAGUCUCCCACCAUCCCUUGGCUUUCCCCCUUGUGGAAGGCCGCGUUGCCCUUGAAGAUAAAGAUUUUUGUAUGGCAACUACUACAAGAUCCCAUUCCUUUGGGGACCGAGGUGCUUAAGGGGCAUGGCCUAAGUGAUGGCUUGUGCCCCUUAUGUGUGGUGCUGAAGACUGGGACUCGCAUCCUAUUCUCAUGUAUGGCGGCACGGGUCCUAUGGACGUUCGUCCGCGAAGCAUUGGGGCCCAACUGGGAGGCCCUGGACCUCACGCGGUUCCUCCAGAGGAGGGCUACCCAUCCUGGGCGACAUCACCGCUUUUCUGUCUUUUCUUUGCGGCUAUGUCGUGGACUCUAUGGAGGACACAUAAUAAAAUGGUGA